CAGUCACGUGACCGCGCUCUCUCCGGCGGGCGCGCUGUGCGCAGCCGCACAUUGAGCCCCCGAGGUGGGCGGAGAGAAGGCCGGGGAGGGCGUGGUUCCCUCAGAGGCGGCCCGCGAAACCCUUGACGAGACCCCAGGGUCCAAGAAUUAGUUGAAUGAAGUCAGACCCGCCAGAGAGUCUUCUGAAAGUAACAUCAUGAUGCUUUCCCAAGGAGAACCCCAGGUUCAGUUCUAACUGGUGUUGGCUGGUGAUGACGGCACUGGGAAAACUCCACUGGAGAAAAGUCAUCUGAGAGAGGAGGUGAACCCUGGCAGGAUUUCCUGAUGCCAAAGAUGUCAACUCAGGAACUGGCAUGCAUGAAACACCUGAUACUAGCUGUGAGACUGUGGGUCACAGUAAGUCACUUACCCUUCCCCCCCCUGCCGCCCGCCCCCAGAGCCAAAUGUUUAAAAAGGGAAUAAGAAUAGUUCCCACUUCAGGAUCUCUGUAAGGAUUAACAGAAGUGACGACAGCACCAAGCUUCACCUGGAACACCCAUUCUCAAUGGCACACUCAAGAGGGCAAAAGAUGGAUCUUGGGAAGCAAAGGAAAUCUACUCUUUUAUGUAUGAAGCCUAGAUACAUACAGUGCAUAAACAAAUAUAUAGUAUAUCUGCAGAAUUAAGACUUCACUGGACUUCGCACAAAAAUGUAUGCACGACGAGCCCUCAGACAUUGCUGGCGGGAAUGUACGAUGGUGCAGCCACUGGGGAAAAUAAUUGGACAGUUCCUCACUAAUUAAACGUAAAACAUACCACAUGACCCAGCAAUUGCAUCCUAGGUAUAUACCCAAGAGAACUGAAGACAGGUUUCAAACAAAAAUGUGUAAGUGAGUGUUUAUAUCAGCAUUAUUCACAAUAGCAGGAAGGUGGCAACAACUCAAAUGUGCAUCAACAAUGAGUGGAUGAAGUGUGACUCAUCCACACGAUGGAAUAUUAUUCAACCAUAAAAAGGAAUGAAGUAUUGAUUCAUGCUGCGGCAUAGAUGAACCUUGAAAACAUGUUGACAAUAUCUCAAGCUUUUUCUUUCCAACUUGGGCCCAGCAUAAUGGCUCCCACAAAACAGGGUGGCGAGAAGAGGCCACUUGCCCAUCCAUGAGGUGGUGACCAGAGAACACACCAUCAACAUUCACAGCGUAUCCAUGGAGUGGGUUUCAAGAAGCGUGCCCCUCAGACACUCAAAGAGAUCCGGAAAUCUGCCAUGAAGGAUAUGGGAUCUCCAGAAGUGCACAUUGACACUGGGCUCAACAAAGCGGUCUGGGCCAAAGGAAUAAGGAAUGUCCCAUACCAUAUCCCAUGUCGUUGUCCACAGCACGUAAUGAGGAUGCAGAUUGACCAAGCAAGUUCUGCACAUUGGUUACCUACAUACCUGUCACCACUUCCAUAAAUCUGCAAACAGUUAAUGUGGAUGAAAACUAACUGCUGAUUGUCAAAUAAGGUUAUAAAACUGCCCCCCAAAAGAGAACGUUAUGCGACAUGAAGAAAGUCAGAUACAAAAGGUCACAUAUUGUAUGAUUGUUUUAUGAAAUGUCCAGAAUAGGCAAAUUUAUAGAAAUGGAAAGUAGAUUAGUGGCUGUCAGGGGAUGGAGGGCUGAGGGGGUGGAGGGAGUGGGAAUUGACUGCUAAUGGGUAUGGGGUUUCCUUUUGGGUGAUGAAAAUAUUCAAGAAUAAGACAGUGGUGGUAGUUGCACAGUUUCGUGAAUAGACUUUAAAAGACACUGCCUGUAUUUUACAGUAUAUGAAUUAUAUCUCAAUAAGUCUGUUAUUUUCUUUUUUUAUAUCAGAGAGGAAGAUGGAGAGAGAGACAUUGAAACAUCAGUGAUGAGAAUCAUCAAUCAGCUACCCACUGUACACCCCCCUUACUGGGGAUCGAGCCCACAUCCUGGGCAUGCGCACUGACGGGGAAUCAAACGGUGAUCGCCUGGUUCAUAUCGUCACUCAACCACUGAGCCACACAUGGGGCUAUCUGGCUCUGGAAAUGUGGCUAGCCAAGUUGAAGUGUGCCCUGAGUAUAAACACUCGUCCAGAUUUCAAAGAUUCAUACAAGAAAAAUAAUAUUUUAAAAAGAAUGUAGCCAUGGCUGGUUUGCUCAGUAGUUAGAGCAUCGUCCCACAGUCCCAUGGGUUGUAGGUUUGAUUCCCAGUGGAGGGCAUGUACCUGGGUUGUGGGUUUGCUCCCCAACCUCUGUGGGGGCACAUGCCGGAGGCAACCAGUUGAUGUGUCUCUCUCACAUCAAUGUUUUUCUCUCUCUUCCCCUCCUCCCUCCUUCCUACUCUCUCUAAAAAUCAAUGGAAAAAAUAUCCUUGGGUGAGGAUUUAAAAAAAUUCCUGACCUGCAGGUCAUCAUCAUCCACACAAUUCUUUUCUUAAAAAAAGAAUGUAAAAUUUAAUCAUGUGUAUAUUGGUUAAGUUGAAAAGGUAAUUAUUUUGGAACUACAGGACUAAAUAAAAUAGGUUGUUAAAAUUCA